UAAAAAGUAUUCAAGGGGUAUUGUUCACAUUACACAAUUUAUUCAACUACAUUUCCUCCACAAAAUUAGUUGAACAGAUAUCCCCAAAUUUUUAAGUUUUCUAAAAGUAAUUAUUUAAAAUAUUUUGGCAACUUAAUUUUUCCUUACAAAAAAAUACUUUCACAGAACAACAGAGUAAUUUAAUUCCAAACAACUCAAUUUUAAUACAUUUAUUCAAACUAAAAUGUCAGACACGCCCAUUCUGUAACCGACCUGAACAAGUCUAAACUUGUUCUCCACACGCACGAGGAGCUGCCUCGACGGAGAAUCCUUGCUCCAAGAUAAAAUAAAAGAGAGGUGAUUUUGAAGGGGUGGAUUGUCCAUUCCCGGAGGAGUUCAUCCAACCCCAGAGCAAA